UACGUAGGCAGCAAGCGUUGUUCGGAGUUACUGGGCGUAAAGGGUGUGUAGGCGGUUGUUUAAGUUUGGUGUGAAAUCUCCCGGCUUAACUGGGAGGGUGCGCCGAAUACUGAAUGACUAGAGUGCGGGAGAGGAAAGUGGAAUUCCUGGUGUAGCGGUGAAAUGCGUAGAUAUCAGGAGGAACACCGGUGGUGUAGACGGCUUUCUGGACCGUAACUGACGCUGAAACACGAAAGCGUGGGUAGCAAACGGG
rnacentral:rRNA from 1 species